AUGACACAGGGGGUGUGGCCCCACAUGCUGGCGGUGCCGAGGCCGGAGGCCCUGCCCGCCUGCCAUCCCCCCGCCCAGGAACCCCGGCUCCCUGCCCGCCCCAGGAAAAACCAGGCACUGCACUGGGGGUUCACCAAUUUUAUUUCUAGACUUUUCAUGUUCGUCUUCUGUCUUCUGCUGGAAACGUGCCGGUUACAUGUGUGCCACAGUGUGCAACCAAAACACACAGACCCAAAGUGCCCACCCACCAGAGACCCUCACAGCCUUGCUGGUCACAGGACAGACUCCGCUGUGCUCCCCAGACCUGCCCCCGGCCUUUGGCCUUCGAGCGCACACCACGUUCACCCCCCACCCCCCCCACGAGGACAGACCGUCCCUCAAGGACCCCGUUUGGUUCAGACAGAGAUGCUGCAGCCAGAACGGUUGAGCGUGCUAGGCGAGUCGGGUGCGCGGCACUGUCAGUGGGCCUCACUGAGAUCCGGAGUCUUUGUUGAACGAGCGUGCCGAGGCAAUGAAGGGGACAGAACACGGGCACGUACGCGCAGAGGCGACACCGGCACUUUCCCCAAGUCCAGAGGCGACUCCGCUCAUCCGGAGUGACUGAGUCCUGCAGCACAGCACCGCGGUGGCACGUGACGACACACUUGUUACAAUAAUAAUAAUAUAAUGACGCAACUUUCGUAGCUACACGUCAAGAACGAUCCGGCUGUCAAAGCUAACAUGGUGGCACGUCCCAGGUCAGGCGGGCAGCCCGGCAUCACAGGCGCAGGGAGAAGGGGGCGGUUGCGGCGCCGGGGCCGCUGGGCUGCGUGCACGACCGUGGCCCGGAGCCCACCCCGCCGGGCCCGUUUCGGGAUCCCGGUCUGCGUGUCUGCCGGAGCAGGAGGCCGCGGGUCAGAUGGAGCCUGACCGCCUGGUCUGCACAUGGCUAAGAGAAGCAUGAGGUAUCGUGAAACAGGAACCUUUUUGGAAUAGAGCAGUAAAUCACAUUAAGUCAAAAUUGAUCACAUAAAAAAAAAAUCUACAAAAAAAAAGGCAUCCUUAAUACAUUUUUCUAUGAGAAAAUUAAAACUCGAACAUGGCAGUAUGACAUCGUAAAACAAAAACAAAAAAACUGAUCCUCCGAUAGCAGCAAAACGACGUGAAAGAGACAGAAAAGCGAUGUGAAAUCUGUUUCCAAACCGCGCUGGGAAGUCAUCGGUAGCAGCGAAUCAGGACACCGAGCCGCAGCCUGCCCGCCGCGGGGUCCCGCCGACGGCCCUCUGCCCCCCGCCCCCACCCCCUGCACCCCCGCCAAGCACCGGCCCUGUGCUCUAGCCGCCUUCGACUCCCCCACCACGUAGUCAUUACGAAAAGGUACAAAACCAAGAUGUGCAAAUUGUCUAUUGGUUGCUAAGCUUUCUUUUUUCAGAAGGAGGGGACAGGGGACAAGAAUACGUUGGGGCUGCACUUGUUCCGAGUACCCUCCUUUUCUGUGGAACUCUGAGGCCUCUCAGAUGGGGUUCCCAUUUAGGGCAACACCGAGUACGGGCUGAAUCGGCCAAAUCCAUGCUCUUCGUGUUUUUCCUCAGGAUCUUUUUCUCUCUCCUAUGAAAAAGGACCUAAUUUGACAAACUGUACGAAACCUGCAACAUCAAAGGCAGAAAAGCGUGUGUGUGUGUGUGUGUGUGUGUGUGUGUGUGUGUCGGGGGGGUGUACAUCAAGGGGAGAUUGCAUUACUUUAUAAAUCAUACUGGCCUUACAGACAUCCUCUGCAAUAAAUAUUCUUUUUAGCCUUAACUAUAAAUUAUAUAUUUUAGUGUUUAAAAACCUUCCUAACCCUUAAACUACGCGUUCUCUAGGUCCACCUUUAAAGGCCCCCUACGCUUUCGAACACCAGCUGGCACCAAGGACUCCCGGACUUCCACUGCUCUACAGAGAAAGGAGUGCACCGUCCUGGCGACGUAAGAGUGCACUUCCUGACCAGAAGCUCGUCUUCAGGAACAUCCCCUCCCGCUAACUCCCUAAGUGACAUGCACUUGCCUCGCCAUCCUGUCUGCACUCAAGGACGUGAAUAUUCCCAAACCAUUCCAUUAAGAAACUGCCCCCCCCGCCCCGCCCUCCACACACAACAGAAACAAGAGAGAUUCCCUAUACCACUGGAUUGAAAGUGCUUUGAAAUGGAAUGGUUCUAGAAUAUUGAGAAGGAAAAAAAAAAAAAAAAAAGGAGCCAUGGAUUUCACCUGGAUGUGAGCAGGCUGCAGGUCUGUGGGGGUGAGAAACCAGCAUCUAUCUCAACAGGCAACUACAAAAAUAGGAAGAUUAUAAAAAUAGAAUACAUGACGUCGCUGUGGCGGGUUCUGUCGCUCUAGCUGCGCGGGCCGGGAUCGGAGCUGGCUUUCCGCGAGCGCGGCGCCGCCGGCGGGAAGAGGGUCAGCGCGCGACCACGCGGAGCGCUGCACUAACUGCGGUUCCAUCAGCCACGGACAGGUGAAGGGUUACUCGCCUACCUAGGGAAUAAAGGAGCGCGCGAAGGGCUGAUAAAGUGACUACAUGCGCGGGCAAGCGACGCGCGGGCUACCUAGGACUGCCUUCCGGCCGCCUCCUCGGGACGCGCUUCUACGGAAAACCCUCCUCUACUCCAAACGUGGUUGGCUGGCUUUUUUCUAGUUUUUCAAAUGUUUUUAUGCUUUUUUUUGUUUUGUUUUGUUUUAAACACAUAAAGAAUCAACCCUAACCCUCCCCUGCACGCUCGUUCCUUGUGUUAAUGCCUAGCCUUACAACAGAGUCACGAACGAUCCACAGAAAACCUAGUUGAUUAUGGGGUAUCACGUCCUCUAUUUUUGUAGCAAACCUCCCCCCACCCCCCAGGUCAGGGGUACGCAAAUACUAUUUUUUUUUCUCUCCUUUUUUUUUUUUUAAAGACAGUUUUUUUUCGGGUACUUUUUUCUUUUGCUGAAGUCAGAGACGGAAGGGAGAAAAGAGCAAAGGAAAACCCGACAGUAAAGGAGAAGGAAGCUUUCCCUUCUGGUGGUGACCGGUCCUGGCGAGGAGCGCGGUCCUGUCAGGGGAGCACCCGGCCGGCCCCUCC
rnacentral:lncRNA from 1 species